rnacentral:rRNA from 1 species
GGCGGCGUGCUUACACAUGCAAGUCGAGUGCGCGGCUGUAGCAAUACAGCUGGCGCACGGCGCACGGGUGCGUAACACGUGGGUACCUGCCCUUUGAUGGGGAAUAACCCCGCGAAAGCGGGGCUAAUACCGCAUAAGAUCCGCAAGGAUGAAAGCCGAAAGGCGUCGAAGGAGGGGCCUGCGCACGAUUAGCUAGUUGGUAGGGUAAUGGCCUACCAAGGCAAUGAUCGUUAGCUGGUCUGAGAGGAUGGCCAGCCACACUGGAACUGAGACACGGUCCAGACUCCUACGGGAGGCAGCAGUGGGGAAUCUUGCACAAUGGGCGAAAGCCUGAUGCAGCGACGCCGCGUGGGGGAUGAAGCUUCUCGGAGUGUAAACCCCUUUCGACCCGGACGAAUGCCCCGCAAGGGGACUGACGGUACGGGUAUAAGAAGCCCCGGCUAACUACGUGCCAGCAGCCGCGGUAAGACGUAGGGGGCCAGCGUUGUUCGGAAUUACUGGGUGUAAAGGGUUCGUANGCGGUGUGGCAAGUCGGGAGUGAAAUCUCUGGGCUCAACCCAAAGUCUGCUUUCGAAACUGCUGUGCU